rnacentral:rRNA from 1 species
CGUCUAUAUACGUAUAGCAUAUCAAUAAGCGGAGGAAAAGAAACUAACAAGGAUUCCCUUAGUAACGGCGAGUGAAGCGGGAAGAGCUCAAAUUUGAAAUCUUCAAGGUUUUACCUUGACGAAUUGUAGUUUAAAGAAGUGUUUUCUGUUAGAGUUUGAGUAGCAAAAGUUCCUUGGAAUAGGACAUCAUAGAGGGUGAGAAUCCCGUAUUUGACCAUUAUUUUCUAGCUUUGUGAUACACUUUCAAAGAGUCGGAUUGUUUGGGAAUGCAGUCCAAAAUGGGUGGUAAAUUUCAUCUAAAGCUAAAUAUUGGCGAGAGACCGAUAGCGAACAAGUACCUGUGAGGGAAAGAUGAAAAGAACUUUGAAAAGGAGAGUUAAACAGUACGUGAAAUUGUCAAAAGGGAAGCGUUUGACACCAGUGUUGUUUUUCCGAAAAUCAAUUAAGAGUGGCUUGACUUUGUGUUGUAUUGACCUUAUCAGCUUUCUUCACUCUUUUUCGAGUCUUUCUUAAUGCACUUUUCGGUUAACAAGUCAACAUCAAUUUCUUUUGUUGUAAAAGGGUAUUUGGAAGGUGGCUUUCUUUUCGGAGAAAGUGUUUAUAGCCUUAUACCUCUACAAUCGGAGAGAUUGAGGUCUGCAGCGUAGAUCCUUCGGGGCUAGAUACACUUGUGCUAAGUUAUAGCUUUUCAUAGACAACUUGUUGACUAUGUUUAGUCAUGUAGCUUACCCGCUUGUGCUAUUUUACCUACGCUUAGGAUGUUGAGUCAUCACACAUCUCU